UUCACUCCUUGGUGUCCUUGCCUGCACACUGGACAGGCUAGUGGGAUGCUCAGGUGUGACACUAAACCACUGUCAGCUACGCAGACAAAGCUUCCUCCUCUCACUCUCCCCCAACUGCCCAGAGACCAUCUCUGCAUAUGACCUGUGUCACCACUCAGAGUGAGUCCUCCAGGGGCCUCGAGUCCAGCGCUAGCCCCUCUGGGCAGCACUGCCCUUGCGCUGUUCUCUGUCUUUUCGUUUCCAGUAUGCAGCUUUUCCUCCAAAGUAGUGAUGCAGACUCCAUGUUUUUACACCACCAAGUUCAAAGAAACGGCUGUGGAUACAGCCACAUCGUGCCCAGGAUUUGCUUUGGAGUAACCUGGAAUGGGUGCGGAGGAAGUGAGGCCAACCACAGGAAGAAAGGCUGAGAAGUUGACCAUUCAUGAAAUAAGCAGAGGUCUAAUUUCCAUGCGACUUGUUCUGCAUUGCUGUAAGGGUGACAUCCAAGAGUGGUCCUGCCAAAACGUCCCCACCUACAAUUCCAAACACAUAAGGAACAAACAGGUCCGGAGCGUGGGUCCCUCACAGGCCAGCCUGCUCUGUGACGAGGACUCAGGCCUCCUUGUCAGCCCAGAGCCCAGUGCCCAGGAGGGUGACCCUCACUCAGAGAACCUCGACUGAGUGACCUGAAUGCAUUGGCUGGACUUCCAGCAGCACCAGAGUCACAGGCACCCACAGCCAUGUCCGGAUUUGUAUGUGAAUGCUGGGGACUUGAACUCUUAGCCUCUGAACCAUCUUCUCAGCCCCUGUAAACUAUUUAUUCACACAGUCUUAUGCCUGCAAGUUGAAAUAAAAAUGUUUUGGAUAUAUUAAGUUAAA